CAGUAAAUAGUUUAAGAAGAAUAUUAGUUUUGGAGACUAAGGGUGAAUAAAUAUUUUUUACUGA
rnacentral:tRNA from 1 species